AAAGGGAGACCUAAUUCGGGUAUAAGACGAAAAAAAAGUAGUCCCUACCAAGAAUCAAUCCCAAAAGGUCGGAGCGAGGCGAAAUUGGCUUUCAAACUAGGUUCUGGGUUCACACAAGACCUGAAUCAGGAACAAGGGCUAUUAGCUCAGGUGGUUAGAGCGCACCCCUGAUAAGGGUGAGGUCCCUGGUUCGAGUCCAGGAUGGCCCACCUGCACAGGUGGCAAAAACAAGAGAAGCUCCGAAUCAGCACCUUAUCUUACUGACAUAGUAAGAGAGAAUGCUGGCUCUGAGUAAAGAGUCCAGAGGAACCUUGAAAACUGCAUAGAGCUAGGUGAAAAAGCCAAAAAAGAAGACCGCAAG
rnacentral:tRNA from 1 species